UGCUAUUUUCACCUAUUUUUCCAACAAUCCCCCACAUGAAAAAUGCUAUUUUCAUCAAAUUUCCAACAAUCCCCCACAUGUAUGGAAAUGGAUCUUUUCCUUACACUUUUCAACGAUAAACUUCGACAGUUGAGUAUUGCAAGAUAGGUAGGUUGAAGCCUUUGAACCUUCUUUUGUGAAACGCACUUAGCUUACUAGCGGUGUGUAGACGCGAUGUCCUUGAACAUACCCCCAUUUGUGUAAACGACAAUACACUUCACACAAUACUCUCCCUGGUUUGGCCAACUCCUCAUUGUCGUGUCCUAUUAUGGUCCUGGAACACUAGCCUGGUUCUACGAGAGCUCUAGGAUUUGCGCACCCCACAAAUCCAUUUGAAGCGACCCCACUUCUCUCUAACAUAGGUGAUUCCCAUGAAUCAUUAAAAGCAUCAUGGUUAUUUGAUUUCCCGAAAUCAUUAACCUUAAUAUGCUUAACCUCACUUCAUGUCACUGAUUGGAAUGGACUAGGAAGUAUAUGUGAUUCCCAUGAAUCAUUAAAAGCAUCAUGGUUAUUUGAUUUCCCGAAAUCAUUAACCUUAAUAUGCUUAACCUCACUUCAUGUCACUGAUUGGAAUGGACUAGGAAGUAUAUGUAACUCCCUUUUAUUUAGUUUGGGGUACUCCCCCACAGUGACUCCGUUUUGGUAAUAUGAUUAAGUUGUCCUGUUGAACUUAGAUCUUGGGAUCUCCAGUCAACUAAGUUAGGUUUCCCUCAUAUUCCCAUUUACCACGGGCUUUAGUCCCAUUCCUCUUGACGACGUUUCUACUAACUCUCUGCUUAAGCCUUUUGUAAACGGGUCCGCAAUGUUAUCCGCUGAUCUCACAUAAUCAAUUGUGAUAACACCCGUUGAGAGUAGUUGUCGUAUCGUGUUAUGUCUACGUCGCAUAUGCCUUGAUCUGCCAUUGUACAUCAAGCUUUGAGCUCUACCAAUCGCUGAUUGGCUAUCACAAUGUACACAUAUGGCGGGCAAAGGCUUUGGCCAUCUUGGAAUAUCUUCCACGAAUUGACGUAGCCAUUCCGCCUCCUCGCCUGACUUAUCCAAGGCGAUAAAUUCAGAUUCCAUUGUGGAUCUCGCUAUGACCGUUUGCUUAGAAGACUUCCAAGCAAUAGCAGCUCCUCCAAGUGUAAACACGUAACCACUUGUUGAUUUGGAAUCUUUAUUAUCCGAUAUCCAGUUUGCAUCAGUGUAUCCUUCGAUCACUGCUGGUUGUCGGGUAUAAUGCAGUCCAUAGUCUCUUGUGUAUCAUGUUGGGAGGUAUCAACUGGAGUUCGAGCGACACUCGUAUCUCCCGAGUUGAAUUUUUCAAGAAUUUUAUCCACAUAG
rnacentral:lncRNA from 1 species